rnacentral:lncRNA from 1 species
UGGAGAAAUUUAUAAGCUUGGUUUCCAUACGAAAAUGCAGAACUUAUAGACGUGGUUUUAUAUGAAAUGUGUAACCUAUAAACAUGAUUUCUAUAUGAAAAUGCAGAACGAAAAGUAGGACAUCAUUGCAGAAGUGUAUCAAAUCCCUAUGAACACGAUAUCUACCCCUUUUGCAUGCGUGAUGUACCCUCUCCUUUUCAGUAAAAGCCCCAAUAGUAAUUACAAGAUUAUUAAAACCCAGACUUGAAUAAGAAAAAGAAGUAAAAUUACAUCAGAAAAAACUAAAAAAAUUAUAACCAAGGAGAACCUGAUUCAGUUUUCUGUCUAAAACAUGAAAUAAACCAACCCCAAAGUUCAAAUUUCCAAAGCCUUUCUCUUAUUUGGAUGUAUCAGAGUUCCCUAAGU